rnacentral:rRNA from 1 species
GGGUGAGUAACGCGUAUGCAACCUGCCCGUUUCAGCGGGAUAACCCGGAGAAAUCCGGCCUAAUACCGCAUGUGGCCGAGGGGAGGCAUCUUCUUUCGGCCAAAGGAGGCGACUCCGGAGACGGAUGGGCAUGCGUGACAUUAGCUUGUUGGCGGGGUAACGGCCCACCAAGGCGACGAUGUCUAGGGGUUCUGAGAGGAAGGUCCCCCACACUGGUACUGAGACACGGACCAGACUCCUACGGGAGGCAGCAGUGAGGAAUAUUGGUCAAUGGGCGAGAGCCUGAACCAGCCAAGUCGCGUGAAGGAUGACGGCCCUACGGGUUGUAAACUUCUUUUGUCAGGGAGCAAUUGGGUCCACGUGUGGGCUUAGCGAGAGUACCUGAAGAAAAAGCAUCGGCUAACUCCGUGCCAGCAGCCGCGGUAAUACGGAGGAUGCGAGCGUUAUCCGGAUUUAUUGGGUUUAAAGGGUGCGUAGGCGGAAUAUCAAGUCAGCGGUAAAAAUUCGGGGCUCAACCCCGUCGUGCCGUUGAAACUGAUGUUCUUGAGUGGGCGAGAAGUAUGCGGAAUGCGUGGUGUAGCGGUGAAAUGCAUAGAUAUCACGCAGAACUCCGAUUGCGAAGGCAGCAUACCGGCGCCCAACUGACGCUGAAGCACGAAAGCGUGGGUAUCGAACAGGAUUAGAUACCCUGGUAGUCCACGCAGUAAACGAU